rnacentral:tRNA from 1 species
GCAGAAGUGGCGGAAUUGGCAGACGCGCACGGUUCAGGUCCGUGUGGUAGCAAUACUGUGAGGGUUCAAGUCCCUUCUUCUGCA